rnacentral:rRNA from 1 species
AUACGUAUGGGGCGAGCGUUGUUCGGAAUUAUUGGGCGUAAAGGGCGUCUAGGCGGGGGAUUAAGUUAGAUGUGAAAGCUAUGGGCUCAACCCAUAAAUUGCAUCUAAGACUGGUUCUCUUGAGUUCGGGAGAGGAGAGCGGAAUUCCAGGUGUAGCGGUGAAAUGCGUAGAUAUCUGGAAGAACACCAGUGGCGAAGGCGGCUCUCUGGCCUAGAACUGACGCUGAAGCGCGAAAGCGUGGGGAGC